rnacentral:lncRNA from 1 species
UAGAUGUCAACGAUCUUUAUAAAGUUGUUUGAAGCGUCUAUGAUAAACAGAGAGCAAAUUAGAAUCCAAGGAAGUUGACAUGUCAUCACUUCAUUUUUUUGCGCCUGCGCAUAAAUCUGAGAAACGUGAGUUUUGUCUUCAUUGUUUAUCUAGACAUAGGAUAGGUUGUGUGAAAAUAUUACUGAUGUUUAACGUUAAAAAUGGACCAAAAGAUUAAUGCUAAACAACAUUUGACAUGUUUGAACGAACAUAAAUAGAUUAUUUACUAGGUUUUUUUAGCUUUUCGGCGUGAUUUUACAGUCCCCCCACCACGUUUUGUGGGAGCAUAAUGAACGCUAAGUACUUGGUGUUAUUUGGACAUAAAUUAUAAACUUUGUCAAAAGAAACCACAUUUGUUCCGGACCUGGAAUGCCUUCCGGACCUGGGAUCCUGCCUUCUGAUGGAGAUAAUCAAAGGUGGAGAAAACAACAAGCAGAAAGUGAAGUUACUGUAGAUGUGCCUCAUUGAAAAUAUGGAAAUUGACAUUUGACAAUUGAAAUCUGAAUGGUGCCUACUGUCAAGGUUGUCGUUGGAAAUGGAAAUGGAGGACCAAAACGCAGCAGAUCCUUAAAGUUCUACAGCUGCACCAUCGAGAGCAUCCUGGCUGGUUGCAUCACUGCCUGGUAUAGCAACUGCUCAGCCUCCGACCAGAAGGCACUGCAGAGGGUAGUGCGUACGGCCCAGUACAUCACUGGGGCCAAGCUUCCUGCUAUCCAGAACCUCUAUACCAGCCGAUGUCAGAGGAAGGCCC